rnacentral:lncRNA from 1 species
GGCUCCGUUGAAUACCACGUUAAGGUAACUUUCAGACAAGCUCUGAUCCUUCCAUGCGUUCAAUAUUUAUUUCUACUGGCUUAGCCAUUGUUGGUGUCCUUUCUUCAAAUGCACCAGGCAAUUGUUGCUCCAAAACCUAUAUGAUGCAGAAAUGUUGAGCAUAACUGAAACUUAGAAGUAAAGUCAGAAAAUAGGAGUUAUACAGCACAAUUUCAGUAUGCAGGAACUAGAAAAUAGUAGGCAAAGCAUCAGAUAUAUAAUGAAGCAUAAUUACAUCGUAACAAUCUGGAAUAACGUGUGCCCCUGGAUGUCUGCAAGUUUAUAUCCAGGCCUAAUUGCCUUUGCAUAUAUGGAUAGGUCUCUUUCAAUGUUUUAUGCACAUGCACGUAUGACAGAAUUGAAGUCAUUUUCAAUGUAUACUGAACCUAUUUAAAUGAUAACACAGUCUUCAGCAUCUGAUCCACAAUUUACCUACUUGUCAAUAUCAACUCCACUACUGACCCAAGGAGUCUUGCUUUCAUAUGGGCUAUCACCAUAUACCACACAAAUGGUAAGGGAAAUCUCUGCUGAUUUUCUGGAGAUCGUAGAACCUGCAAAAGAAGGAUACCAACUUACUCUAAGACUUGAUUUUUCUAAGAUUCCACGUGACGUAGGUAUGUGCUCCCUGCCAACAUUUUACUGAAACAUUUAUCUCCUAGUAUGAAGUAUUCCGUUUCAAAGAACCUAGCAGAGGCCAGAAUACUAACCCCAAUACCCCUCCUUUCUGUUGUCCGCUCAUAAUUUCCUUGGUCCUGUCAAAAUGUAGAUUAUACAAAAUAACAAUGCUGAUAAAGGCAAAAAGUAGAGACAUAGGGAUCAAUGUCAAAAAAGGUAAAGAAAGCUUGGGAAUUAGCUAUUUAUUAAGCAUCAAACUCAGUAAGAGAUACAGUAUAAGCCUAUGCUUAUUAAGACUAUAGCUUUAGAGAUGCAUAUUAUUUUGUCCAGACUCUCUGAAGGUAAUUACAGAAGUUUCCUCUGUCCAAGCCGUUAUACUAAGCUCUCAGUUGAAAGAAAUGCUGCGGAAUGUGAAUUCCUGGGAUACAUCUCAAGGGAUGUACAAACCAAUCAAACUUGUUUAUCACCCAAGAGAACCUUUCUAUGUCAUCAGACAGGUAAUUUCCAUUCGCAAAAUCAUUAACAUCUACCAAACAGGUUACAUAUCUUGAUUCUUUCGAUCUUAAAUCCCAGAUACCCAUGUCCAUGUUAUUGCAUGAAAGUCAUAUAUUCAUAAAUCAUGACAUUUUCCAAUUUGACUGCAGCUUUUUCUAAAUGAAUGAUAACAUGUUUGGCAGUCUCAAAAAAUAAUAGCAGUAUUCCCCAUGCGCUUCAAAGAAUAUUCAGAUGUGAUCAUCGCAACAUCCUUCUUUCAGGUUUCUGGUGGAGAAUACAAACUUUCUGUGAUUUCUAACAUAAAAUUGAACUCUUAUUGUUGUAGCUGCAAAAAAGGGGAUUCUGCUUAUUACUUAUUUGGACAGGAACUCAUGGAUGUGGGAAGUUCAGAAAAAUGGGCUAAAGUACCUCCUUGCAGCUGGUCACCAAUUCCUCCUCCAGAACUUAGAGGGGAACCUUUCGAAGAUUUGAGCACUAAUGGAGGAUUUGUCUCUUUUGGUACAUCAUAUUGUCCAAAUCUUAAACAUUAUACCACGAAUAGAGUAACUGUAAAUCACAUUUUAAUCAUCUAGCAAAUACUGUUACAGAAAGAACUCAGCUGCAUGAUUUAACUCUUUGUUUCAAUACCCAAAACAAAUAUAUUCAAAAUGUAGAUAUUCACCUCUAAUAGUUAAAAAUUGGUACCUUCAGCAAGGCUUAAUGAAAACCAUGAAAUCCAGGCUGAGGAUGCUCUUCAACAGAUUCAUGACAGUUUAUAUUAGAUCGAUUCUCUAGCCUAAGACAUAUUCACAUGAUUUUUUUCUUUUUUUUUACAGAUAUAUCAUCACGCCACAUUGAAGGUAAAAGACUGGACAAGACUGUCUGGAGUCUAUUAAAUUUCUAUGCCUAUGUGAAACAUCAUGUAAAGGUAGUAUUUCUAUCUUGCUUUCAGCUUUACCAAAACCCCCUCCAUCUCCCCUUUUCUAUCUUAUUUCCACUGGCAAAUUUUUCCAUUUUUACAUAUUUGGAAUUGUAAGAAUUGGAGCUCUGAUGUCCUCUUCUGGCAAUACUGUUCAACAGUGCACCAGAGGUUUCAUACAAAGAAGGAUGAGAAAGCGGUUGGAAAGCUUGGUUGAGGUACUAAGCUGAAACCUUGCAUCCAAUGCAUAAUCAGGGUCUGCAGUCUAUCACUAGUUACAACAAAAAAAGAAGAAAAACAUUUCUGUUCUUCGUUCUCGCAUCAAAUGUAUUGCCAUACUGAAUUAAUGACUCAAUUACUUCAAAAACAAACAGAAUCAAGUUAAAUCACCUGCAUACCUCAACAUGGAAUAACCAGUAAUGCUC